AUGAACCCCUCCUCGGCCCCGGGUCCAGAUGGCCUGCCCGUGACGUUCUUCAAAACGUUCUGGCCUACCAUCAAGCCGAAGGUCAUGGCCCUGUUUGAGGAAUUCUAUUCGGGCUCCAUGGACCUUGGGCGUCUCAACUAUGGGAUUGUGACCCUCAUCCCCAAGGUCCCGGGAGCUUCUGACAUCCGCCAGUUCCGUCCAAUCACAGUGAUUAAUGUGAUAUUCCGGAUCCCGGCCAAAGGGUACGCCAAUAGGGUGGCCCUCCUCGCUGAUGCGAUUACCCAUCCGAACCAAUCCGCCUUCAUACAAGGUCGAUUUAUUCUGGAUGGGGUGCUAGUAUUUCACGAAGUCCUCCAUGAGGUUUGGCUGAAACGCCAUCGCGCGGUCUUUCUAAAGCUAGACUUCCACAAAGCAUACGACACGGUCCACUGGCCCUUCUUGCGGGAAGUGUUGCUUCGCAAGGGCUACGACGACCGUUGGGUGACUCGCGUCAUGCAGCCUGUCUCCUAUGGCUGGACCGCAGUGAACAUCAACGGUGACAUUGGGCCCUACUUCCCCAUCCUCUGUGGGGUCCGUCAGGGUGACCCUUUCUCGUCGUUCUUGUUCAACAUGGUGGUCGAUGCCCUAGCAUCCAUCCUGGAUAAGGCCAAGGACGCUGGCCAUAUCCGCGGCAUCAUCCCCCACCUAGUCAGAGGGGGAGGGGUCUCCCUCCUUUAA
rnacentral:rRNA from 1 species